rnacentral:rRNA from 1 species
GAUGAACGCUGGCGGCGUGCCUAAUACAUGCAAGUAGAACGCUGAAGGAGGAGCUUGCUCUUCUGGAUGAGUUGUGAACGGGUGAGUAACGCGUAGGUAACCUGCCUGGUAGCGGGGGAUAACUAUUGGAAACGAUAGCUAAUACCGCAUGACAACGGUUAUUGCAUGAUAACUGUUUAAAAGGGGCAACUGCUCCACUACCAGAUGGACCUGCGUUGUAUUAGCUAGUUGGUGAGGUAACGGCUCACCAAGGCGACGAUACAUAGCCGACCUGAGAGGGUGAUCGGCCACACUGGGACUGAGACACGGCCCAGACUCCUACGGGAGGCAGCAGUAGGGAAUCUUCGGCAAUGGACGGAAGUCUGACCGAGCAACACCGCGUGAGUGAAGAAGGUUGUCGGAUCGUAAAGCUCUGUUGUAAGAGAAGAACGAGUGUGAGAGUGGAAAGUUCACACUGUGACGGUAUCUUACCAGAAAGGGACGGCUAACUACGUG